rnacentral:rRNA from 1 species
AUUGAACGCUGGCGGCAUGCCUUACACAUGCAAGUCGAACGGCAGCACGGGUGCUUGCACCUGUUGGCGAGUGGCGAACGGGUGAGUAAUACAUCGGAACAUGUCCUGUAGUUGGGGAUAGCCCUGCGAAAGCCGGAUUAAUACCGCAUACGAUCUACGUGUGACAGCGGGGGGCCUUCAGGCCUCGCGCGAUAGGGUUGGCCGAUGGGUGAUUAGCGAGUUGUGGGGGUAAAGUCCUACCAAGACGACGAUCAGGAUCUGUUGGGAGAGGACGACAAGCCACCUUGGGACUGGGACGCGGACAAGACUACUAAGGGAGGCAGCAGUGGGGAACUUGAGACAACGGGGGAAAGCAUGAUCCAGCAAUGCGGAGCGUGUGAAGAAGGCACUGCGGUUGUAAAGCACUCUUGUGCGGAAAGAAAUGCUUGGGCCUAAUACGGUCGGGGGAUGACGGUAACGGAAGAAUAAGCACCGGCUAACUACGUG